AGCAGCCGCGGUAAUUCCAGCUCCAAUAGCGUAUAUUAAAGUUGUUGCAGUUAAAAAGCUCGUAGUUGAAUUUCGGGACCAAUAUGUCGGUCGUGCUUCGGUACGUACUUGCAUUAUUGGUUUCUCCCUUCUGAAGAACCAUGAUGUCAUUAAUUUGGUGUCUUGGGGAAUCAGGACUGUUACUUUGAAAAAAUUAGAGUGUUUAAAGCAGGCUCACGCUUGAAUACAUUAGCAUGGAAUAAUGAAAUAGGACGUUUGAUUCUACUUUGUUGGUUUCUAGGAUCGACGUAAUGAUUAAUAGGGAUAGUUGGGGGCAUUAGUAUUCAAUUGUCAGAGGUGAAAUUCUUGGAUUUAUUGAAGACUAACUACUGCGAAAGCAUUUGCCAAGGAUGUUUUCAUUAAUCAAGAACGAAAGUUAGGGGAUCGAAGACGAUCAGAUACCGUCGUAGU
rnacentral:rRNA from 1 species